CCUACGGGAGGCAGCAGUGAGGAAUAUUGGUCAAUGGGCUUACGCCUGAACCAGCCAAGUCGCGUGAGGGAAGACUGCCCUAUGGGUUGUAAACCUCUUUUGUCAGGGAGCAAUUGGCGCUCCGUUUAGCGUUAUCGAGAGUACCUGAAGAAAAAGCCUCGUCUAACUCCGUGCCAGCAGCCGCGGUCAUACGGAGGAUGCGAGCGUUAUCCGGAUUUAUUGGGUUUAAAGGGUGCGUAGGCGGAAUGCCAAGUCAGCGGGAAAAGCGCGGGGCUCAACCUCGCUCCGCCGUUGAACCUGGCGUGCUUGAGUGGGCGAGAAGUAUGCGGAAUGCGUGGUGUAGCGGUGAAAUGCAUAGAUAUCACGCAGAACUCCGAUUGCGAAGGCAGCAUACCGGCGCCCAACUGACGCUGAAGCACGAAAGCGUGGGUAUCGAACAGGAUUAGAUACCCCAGUAGUC
rnacentral:rRNA from 1 species